rnacentral:rRNA from 1 species
AGACCCGAAACCCGGUGAUCUAGCCAUGGGCAGGUUGAAGGUUGGGUAACACUAACUGGAGGACCGAACCGACUAAUGUUGAAAAAUUAGCGGAUGACCUGUGGCUGGGGGUGAAAGGCCAAUCAAACCGGGAGAUAGCUGGUUCUCCCCGAAAGCUAUUUAGGUAGCGCCUCGUGAAUUCAUCUCCGGGGGUAGAGCACUGUUUCGGCUAGGGGGCCAUCCCGGCUUACCAACCCGAUGCAAACUGCGAAUACCGGAGAAUGUUAUCACGGGAGACACACGGCGGGUGCUAACGUCCGUCGUGAAGAGGGAAACAACCCAGACCGCCAGCUAAGGUCCCAAAGUCAUGGUUAAGUGGGAAACGAUGUGGGAAGGCCCAGACAGCCAGGAUGUUGGCUUAGAAGCAGCCAUCAUUUAAAGAAAGCGUAAUAGCUCACUGGUCGAGUCGGCCUGCGCGGAAGAUGUAACGGGGCUAAACCAUGCACCGAAGCUGCGGCAGCGACACUCAGGUGUUGUUGGGUAGGGGAGCGUUCUGUAAGCCUGCGAAGGUGGCCUGUGAGGGUUGCUGGAGGUAUCAGAAGUGCGAAUGCUGACAUAAGUAACGAUAAAGCGGGUGAAAAGCCCGCUCGCCGGAAGACCAAGGGUUCCUGUCCAACGUUAAUCGGGGCAGGGUGAGUCGACCCCUAAGGCGAGGCCGAAAGGCGUAGUCGAUGGGAAACGGGUUAAUAUUCCCGUACUUGGUGUUACUGCGAAGGGGGGACGGAGAAGGCUAUGUUGGCCGGGCGACGGUUGUCCCGGUUUAAGCGUGUAGGUGUGUGUUCCAGGUAAAUCCGGUUCACUUUAACACUGAGGCGUGAUGACGAGGCA